AACGAACGCUGGCGGCAUGCCUAACACAUGCAAGUCGAACGAUGCCUUCGGGCAUAGUGGCGCACGGGUGCGUAACGCGUGGGAAUCUGCCUUUCGGUUCGGAAUAACUCAGGGAAACUUGAGCUAAUACCGGAUAACGUCGCAAGACCAAAGAUUUAUCACCGAAAGAUGAGCCCGCGUAGGAUUAGCUAGUUGGUGAGGUAAAGGCUCACCAAGGCGACGAUCCUUAGCUGGUCUGAGAGGAUGAUCAGCCACACUGGGACUGAGACACGGCCCAGACUCCUACGGGAGGCAGCAGUGGGGAAUAUUGGACAAUGGGCGAAAGCCUGAUCCAGCAAUGCCGCGUGAGUGAUGAAGACCUUAGGGUUGUAAAGCUCUUUUACCCGGGAAGAUAAUGACGGUACCGGGAGAAUAAGCCCCGGCUAACUCCGUG
rnacentral:rRNA from 1 species